GAGUUUGAUCUUGGCUCAGGACGAACGCUGGCGGCGUGCCUAAUACAUGCAAGUCGAACGAGGUGGUCCUUGGUGGUAACACCUUUGAUCAUCUAGUGGCGAACGGGUGGGUAACACGUGAGAAACCUGCCCUGAAGACGGGGAUAACAGAAGGAAACUUCUGCUAAUACCCGAUACCCCCACCGGAUCGCAUGGUCUGGUGAGGAAAUGGAUUCCGCUUCAGGAGGGUCUCGCGGCCUAUCAGCUUGUUGGUGAGGUAAUGGCUCACCAAGGCUUGGACGGGUAGCUGGUCUGAGAGGACGAUCAGCCACACUGGGACUGAGACACGGCCCAGACUCCUACGGGAGGCAGCAGUAAGGAAUAUUGCGCAAUGGGCGAAAGCCUGACGCAGCAACGCCGCGUGCGGGAUGAAGGCCCUCGGGUUGUAAACCGCUUUCAGUAGGGAGAAAAUGACGGUACCUACAGAAGAAGCCCGGCAACUACGUGCCAGCAGCCGCGGUAAU
rnacentral:rRNA from 1 species